AGCUGCCAAAGGGGGAUAUGCACACAAAACAGGGGCUUUUCUUAAAGUUAUUUUCAUCCUUGUUUCUUUAUGCUGCUCGUUUCUGUUAAACAUUGGUAUAUUCUUUUAUGGGCUGGCCAAUUCAAAAGUUUAUUACAGUAUUAUACAGAAUUUGCAUUUCUGUUCUGAACUUAUGUUAUAGACCACUUGAUUACUUGUUACUGCCAUUCAGGUAAAGUUAUAUUCUAAAAGGAGACAGAGCAUGUUAUUCUCAGCAACCAUGACUGAGAAAGUUGAUGAGCUUGCCAAUCUUUCCUUGAAUAAACAAGUACGCUUGUCAGCUGAUCCAACAGCAAAGCAACUAGCUGCAUUAACUGAAGAAUAGGGAUUAAAAUGACAAACCUCUUCACUACGAGGCAUGGAUUGACUAAUAGAGGAAUGAGCUCGUGGGCUGAUGUGUUAAGUCCUUUGCAGAUAAGUUUGAUCAAAGAUUUGGAAAUGAAAGAGAUGGAGUUAAUGAGACUGAGAAUGAACAAGAUAUGAGUAGAUGAUAAAUUUGCCAACAACAGUCCCACUAUGGCUCGUGUGGAUGGAAGGAAGGAUUGGAGCUUGUUCAUAAUUGAGGCUUGUUUAUGGAAUGAAUUCAACAAAUUCCUGGCUAGACUUAGUUGUAGAUUCGUAAAUAUUUACUGUGUUUAGUUAGUUUAUAUCUUAUCAAUCCCAUAGUUUUCUCUUUUA